rnacentral:rRNA from 1 species
UACGAAGGGGGCUAGCGUUGCUCGGAAUCACUGGGCGUAAAGCGCACGUAGGCGGCUUUUUAAGUCAGGGGUGAAAUCCUGGAGCUCAACUCCAGAACUGCCUUUGAUACUGAGAAGCUUGAGUCCGGGAGAGGUGAGUGGAACUGCGAGUGUAGAGGUGAAAUUCGUAGAUAUUCGCAAGAACACCGGUGGCGAAGGCGGCUCACUGGCCCGGUACUGACGCUGAGGUGCGAAAGCGUGGGGAGCAAACAGG